GCGCCCCGCGCCCGUCCCGCCGCCCCCGCCCGACGGGGUGCAGCAGGCGCGAAACCUUUACACUGCACGCACGUGCGAUAAGGGGACUCCGAGUGCGAGGGCAUAUCGUCCUCGCUUUUGUGUACCGUAGGGUGGUACACGAACAAGGGCUGGGCAAGACCGGUGCCAGCCGCCGCGGUAAUACCGGCAGCCCGAGUGAUGGCCGAUCUUAUUGGGCCUAAAGCGUCCGUAGCUGGGUCUGAAAGUCCAUCGGGAAAUCCACUCGCUCAACGAGUGGCCGUCCGGUGGAAACUCCACACCUUGGGACCGGAAGGCUCGAAGGGUACGGCCGGGGUAGGAGUGAAAUCCUGUAAUCCCGUCCGGACCACCGAUGGCGAAAGCACUUCGAGAAAACGGAUCCGACAGUGAGGGACGAAAGCUAAGAUCGCGAACCGGAUUAGAUACCCGGGUAGUCUUAGCCGUAAACAAUGUUCGUUAGGUAUGACACAGACUACGCGUCUGUGUUGUGCCGUAGGGAAGCCGAGAAACGAAC
rnacentral:rRNA from 1 species